rnacentral:rRNA from 1 species
CAGUCACACGAGUUUGAUCCUGGCUCAGGAUGAACGCUAGCGGGAGGCCUAAUACAUGCAAGUCGAGCGGUAGAAUGACUUCGGUUGUUUGAGAGCGGCGAACGGGUGAGUAACGCGUACACAAUCUACCUUUAAGAGGGGAAUAGCCCUGGGAAACUGGGAUUAAUGCCCCAUGGCAUCACGGGAUGGCAUCGUUUUGUGAUUAAAGCUGAGGUGCUUAAAGAUGAGUGUGCGUCUGAUUAGCUAGUUGGUACGGUAACGGCGUACCAAGGCGACGAUCAGUAGGGGGCGUGAGAGCGUGGACCCCCCACACGGGUACUGAGACACGGACCCGACUCCUACGGGAGGCAGCAGUAAGGAAUAUUGGACAAUGGCCGCAAGGCUGAUCCAGCCAUGCCGCGUGCAGGAAGACGGACCUAUGGUUUGUAAACUGCUUUUGAACGGGAGAAAACCCCCCUACGUGUAGGGGGCUGAUAGUACUGUUAGAAUAAGCAUCGGCUAACUUCGUAG